GAUAUUUAGAUCAUGUUUGGUGUCUAUGAGCUACAUUUGUAUGUCUUUAAUGUUGAUGUUUGUUGUGUUUUGGGAACUCCUUUCAUAUUAGUUUUAUCAAACUCUUAGAAGUCUUCUUACACUCUAAAAAAUGCUGGGUUAUUUGUUUAACCCAACAGCUGGGUUGAGCCUGUUGGGUCAUUUUGUUGGGUUAUUUUCUCAGUGUUGGGUCAUUUUUUGAGUAACCCAAACGCUGGGUUAGCAGUCGGGUCCAAUUGAGUGACAGUUGAGAGAGUAAACCCCUCCCACUCCUCGACGCGUUAGACAAACUCUACCUUCGCGGGCAUUUUGAUCCACCUCAUCUCGAAAAGUUGUUAUUCGGAGAAGAAAAGGUUGCAGAAUAACAGCUAAUAUUAAUGGAUCAUUCUAUUCAAGAGAAAGUCAACUGGAACGUGGAUGUUUUCAUAACAGGCUUAAAGAUGAACAAAUUGAUAAAGAAACCCUCCUGCUGAACAUCCACUUCCAAAAGUGCACGCCACACUGUUGUCUACAACUCUCAGGAAAAGAAUCCUCUUUAGUAAGACUGCUCCGUGGAUAUCUCAGGUUAAGCAGUGCUGAAACCGAAAGAACUAACGCUCUUUAAAAUGUUUUGUGAGUUUAGGGUGUCCCUUUUUCACAUCCAUAACGCUUGUUUAUUUAUUUUUUUAUAGAAAACUUGUGCAUAGACUGAUAUUUUAUCAUAUAAAUGCGGUUCUAUCAACAAGGGUUUAGUAAAAUACUUUUCAUAGUGUUUUUAUGUCGCAUCCAUAACGCUGGAAUUGACCUAAAGCAUUUUACUCGUGCCACUUUGUUAACUGUAUAUGAAUUUUUGAAGUGUUAAGUUGUCUAACUAUUUAUAUUUACUUGUGCCACUUUAAUAACCUU